UUUUUUUUUUUUUUUUUUUUCUUUCUUUUUAGAGCCAUACUCAGGGCUUAAGGUAGUUCAGAUCUGAGCCAUAUCUGCAACCUAUACCACAGCUCAAGGCAACAGCGGAUCCCUAAACCACUGAGUGAGGCCAGGGAUUGAAACUGCGUCCUCAUGGAGGUUAGUCAGAUUCAUUUCUGCUGAGCCACGACGGGAACUCCAAGAGCAGCCAUGCUCUUGACUGAGUGCGUCCAGGUAUAUGCACCCUGGAGCCCCCCAUCCCACCCAUUCAGGCACUUUCGUUGCCCUUUGUCCUUUAGGGGUCAGUUCAGAUACUGCAGGACUGGGCAAUGGCAGUCUGGCCCUCUGGACCCGGCUCUGUCUGAGGGAGAAUCUGUUUGUUUGAAAUCUGUUCAGGAGAAGAAAGCGAGGUGAAGUGGGGGUGGACCUCCAUCCCUUCCAGAAGUCCCCUGGGACACGUCUGAGCAGAUUGGCACGAUCCUAGCUAUAAGCCCAUGACCAAGACAAAAGGAGUGAACGAGUAUUUACUGUAAUAUAGCCUGGCCAAGGUAUGUUUUGCCUUCGGAAGAAUGCUGGCCCCUGAAAGGGUCUCGCAGUUCCUAUUUUGCAGUUAGAAUGGGUAAGUGGGAGGAGAUUCCAUAGGUGCAGGCUUUCCUGCUGCUCCAUAAUAAGGAUUCUUCCAACAAGGACAGGAAAUUACUUAUGCAAAUGUGAGAAGCCUGCUCCCCUUCCAAAGGCCUCUUUGCUGUCAAGCGAGGAUGAGAGUGGGUCUGAACUUCCAGGGGACUGAACCUGCUGUGUUUUCUCUCCCAGGGCCUGAUGGGGCUGCCUGGGGCUCUGGCCUCCCAUGGCCCGUCUCUGGGAGGAGGAGGACUCCUGGGGAACCUGGCGGAGGCUGACCACUCCCCUGUGUGUGGGGAAGCAAGACCUACCCAGCUGGAAAAAGCCAGGCUUCUGUACUGAGAUGAUCCACAAAAAAUGGUGGAAAUGGUCCUUCGUGUUGUUUUUCACACCACUGCCCAAGCUGGACCCGUGUGCAGGCAUUGGUGAAUACAGGCUGACAGCCCAGGAACAGCCCUGGGUUCUAGACAAAGCCUGGGAGGUAGCGGGUUGCCUCCACCAGGAGGAUGCGGCCAACACCUGCUCCCCUGGGAUGCCCUGAACGGCUCCACAUCACACGUCAUCCAGAUGCAACACCCUCGUUCAUCUCCAAUCCCUGCUUCCCAGCUUGGAAGCUGCUAACCAGUCUCCCAGGCCAGACACAUCCCCCCUCAGCUGGUACUACUCCCAGAUCUUUCCAGACCCCCACCUGGAUGGCAGCUUUGGGGCUCAGCAGCCAGACUUCAUGUCCACGGAGUCUGCGUUUCCUUCAUGAGGCUCCACCUUGGAGUAAUGGGCUUGGGGUCUCCUUCCCAAACGGGGGAGAGGCACAUGUCCAGGCAAACCUGGGGGGAAGGGAGCAAACUGGUUCCCCCUGCCAUGUCAUCUUGUCCCCACUGCCUUGCUCUCCCCCCAGGGCCUCUCCCUGCUCACCUCUGCACCUGUCCUCCUCUGUGUGGGGCUGUGUCCCCUCAGGUGGCAUCUCCUUCUAGGGGUGGCUGCAGGGAGGAGAGGCCAGACCCCUUCAGGGUUUCUGUGAAGGAGGCCAUGGCCCUGAGGUGGGUCCUGGAUUCCCAGAGCCCCGAGCUUUGGUCGUGGGCUCCCACCCAAGGGCCCUGCUGCAGUGCUGGGCUGGAGAGCACAGGGCUCAAACCCACAGCUUUGGCACAGUUAUCUGGGUUCCCACUCCUAGUCAUGUGUUUUAGGGAAACACUAAAUCCCUGAGCCUUGGUAUCCUCAUCUGUAAAAUGGCGUUAGUAGCACAAGCCACAGUCCCUUUCUAAAACCAUUGGUUCAUACUCCAGAAUUCAGAAAUUUUCAGCCUCACCAGGUGACAUGGUACAUCUACGCAAUUUAACACGACACCCACCGGUGUUCGAAAAUACCUUGUAGUGAAGCACAGUAGUAAUCUUUCUGCAACUGCGCUUUUGUUGUUGUUGUUGUUGUUUAUUAAGUUAUUUUUAUUUUGUUCCCUGAUAGCUGGUUGACAGUGUUCUGUCAGUUUUCUACUGCACAGCAAGGUGACCCAAUUACACAUACAUAUAGGCAUUCUUUUUUCUCACCUUAUCACUCUCCAUCAUAAGUUGCAGCUGUACUUCUGAACGUUCAUACCAAGUGAAAGAAAUAAAGACCAUGAAGUAUUUCA
rnacentral:lncRNA from 1 species